AGAGCCCACAGCUCCUGGGUAGGACCCAGAGGGGGGAAAAGUACAGCAAAGACAAAAGUGAUGUGAUUACUCUGAACACCAUGAGGGCUGAAACCCAGUGGUGCAGGAGGCAUAGUGGGUCGCAGCUGUGCCUCCUAAAAAUAGCCUGACUUCCGCUCCCCACGGAGUUGGGGAGUCUGAGCUGGCUUCCAGGGGAGGCUCUAAAAAUAAAGCUGCCGGCAGGCCUCUGCUCACCUCCUCAGGGCCUACAGGCUGAGUCUGCACCUGGGGGCUGGGGAGGGGGGAGUGAGGUGCUGGACCAUGGGCUGCCUUCCAAAGACACCUGAUCCUCUCGACAGAAGUCAGUGAGUGAGAGCCAUCCUUCCCGUUUUGUUGAGGAAGACAUGGAGGCUGCUUGGUGCCGUGACAUGAUUUGGCCAGUGUCAGAGGAACAAGAAACAGCCGCGUCAAACAUCGUUGAACCUUUCUAGGCCAGUCCAGCCGAUUAUUUUUAAAAUGUUUAAUAACAUUGUUGACAUAACUGUGA